rnacentral:lncRNA from 1 species
AGCUUCUCUCUGCCUGUGCAUCCUUCAGGGCUGCAGGAGGAAGAGAGUGGGGGCCUGUUGGCUACAAGCCUUUUGGUUGGCACUGGCCCCAAGUGCUGCAGACCAGCGCAGCAGCCAGGGACCAGCAUCAGUGCCCAGCCACACUCUGAUCACCUCCUGAUCUUUGUGUGGUUACAGGCAUUUGUCAAUCAGAUUUUAUUCCAUCCACAGCACCAGUUAAAAGGGAAUCAGGGCAAGCCAAAAUCUGAACGCAGACCUAAAGCUUUAUGCAAGGAGUUGUUUGAGAGUGGCAAUUCAGGCUCUGCAGCAGCACAGGGAUGCACAUGGCAGAACGAGUGUCCAGCUGUCCUAAAUUGCAGAAUUUUCCCCAGAACUCUCAGCAUUGGAAUUUUAAUUGUUGUUUUAAACUCAACAAAAGGCAAGUGUGAGCUGUUUCCUCAAUGCCUCAGCCCAGUGUGUGCCCUUCUUCCAGUUCCCUGUGCUGCAGCACAACAACAAACAAACCUACAGAGGAAUUCUCUUGAACCAUUGUCCCUGUGAUUAUAGGCUUUGUCCUGUGGUGACUGCCCUUAAAGAAGUACAGAUAAUAAGACUAAAAGAGUAUUAUGGGUAAUUGCUGGGCUCAUACUGGAGUAUCCUUUUAGUUCCAUAGCACCUCCUCUCACAGUUCUUGGAUGUAUAAUUUAGCAGAAGCAUCAUGAUGUAAUUUAAUUCAAGUGUUUCUGUGUUUUAAAGCAUUGAAAUAUAAUUAAACUAUUUACAUGAAAGUCUAGUGUGAUUGUCUUUUUCCCCUGUCACUUACAUUUUCCCGCAGAAACUGCUGGAGUGUAUCCCCAGUAUCUGCUGGUUAUUUGUGUGCAGUAAAUUCUCCUGCUCUUUCAAAAACUGAACUAGAUGUGAAAAAUUCAGAAGGGGAAGCUUUGUGGGGGUCAAAGUUUAGUGUUCUACAGCACAAAAACUCAGAUCUCUCCAGAAAGGCUUGCUGGAAAAGUCAGGAGGGCAGGAGCUUCCAGCUGCCAGUCCUGGGCAUCCAGAGUACAAAAAGAAAUCCCAAUUUAUCCUUAGGCUGAAUUCCUGUACAGACCAGGGGUUCAGCAGCUCACCUGCAGCUCUGCCCACACCGAGGGGAACAGAACAUGAUGACAUUGUUGAUACAUUUCAGAUUUGCUGCUGCCUCAUCUGGCCCACAGCCCCAAAUCUUAGGAACAGUUAGGAAAGCUAUCAGAGGAGCUGAAGAGGCAAUGCUCAGGCAGAGAAUUAACUGUAUGAAAAGCUAAAUAGCUGUAUAGCCCACAGAACAAUGUGGGGGAGAAAAGACACAACUGUGGAGACUUUUGGGUGCACGUGUGAAGCAGAACUGGCUUGUGUUCCAUCCAAUCAAGACACACAAAAGGAUGGAAUUAGGCACCCACAUUUGGGCUUAGGAGCCUAUCUGGUUUUCUCCAUUUGUGAUUCCUCAUACUCAUUAUUUCU